UACGUAGGGGGCUAGCGUUGUUCGGAAUCAUUGGGCGUAAAGCGCGUGUAGGCGGUUCGGUAAGUCCGCUGUGAAAGUCGGGGGCUCAACCCUCGAAUGCCGGUGGAUACUGUCGGACUAGAGUACGGAAGAGGCGAGUGGAAUUCCUGGUGGUAGCGGUGAAAUGCGCAGAUAUCAGGAGGAACACCAAUUGCGAAGGCAGCUCGCUGGGACGUUACUGACGCUGAGACGCGAAAGCGUGGGGAGCAAACAGG
rnacentral:rRNA from 1 species